rnacentral:rRNA from 1 species
UACGUAGGGGGCAAGCGUUGUCCGGAAUCAUUGGGCGUAAAGAGCGUGUAGGCGGCCUGAUAAGUCGGUUGUGAAAGUCAAGGGCUCAACCCUUGAAUGCCGGCCGAUACUGUUAGGCUAGAGUCCGGAAGAGGCGAGUGGAAUUCCUGGUGUAGCGGUGAAAUGCGCAGAUAUCAGGAGGAACACCAAUGGCGAAGGCAGCUCGCUGGGACGGUACUGACGCUGAGACGCGAAAGCGUGGGGAGCAAACAGG